UACGAAAGGGGCUAGCGUUGUUCGGAAUUACUGGGCGUAAAGCGCACGUAGGCGGCCUUGUAAGAUGGGGGUGAAAUCCCUGGGCUCAACCCAGGAACUGCCUUCAUGACUGCAAAGCUCGAGGAUGUGAGAGGUUGGCGGAAUUCCGAGUGUAGAGGUGAAAUUCGUAGAUAUUCGGAAGAACACCAGUGGCGAAGGCGGCCAACUGGCACAUUUCUGACGCUGAGGUGCGAAAGCGUGGGGAGCAAACAGG
rnacentral:rRNA from 1 species